rnacentral:rRNA from 1 species
UGGGGAAUUUUGGACAAUGGGCGAAAGCCUGAUCCAGCAAUGCCGCGUGUGUGAAGAAGGCCUUCGGGUUGUAAAGCACUUUUGUCCGGAAAGAAAUCCUUGGCUCUAAUACAGUCGGGGGAUGACGGUACCGGAAGAAUAAGCACCGGCUAACUACGUGCCAGCAGCCGCGGUAAUACGUAGGGUGCAAGCGUUAAUCGGAAUUACUGGGCGUAAAGCGUGCGCAGGCGGUUUGCUAAGACCGAUGUGAAAUCCCCGGGCUCAACUGGGAACUGCAUUGGUGACUGGCAGGCUAGAGUAUGGCACGAGGGGUAGGGGUAUAUCCACGUGUAGCAGUGAAAUGCGUAGAGAUGUGGAGGAAUACCGAUGGCGAAGGCAGCCCCCUGGGCCAAUACUGACGCUCAUGCACGAAAGCGUGGGGAGCAAACAGGAUUAGAUACCCUGGUAGUCCACGCCCUAAACGAUGUCAACUAGUUGUUGGGGAUUCAUUUCCUAGUAACGUAGCUAACGCGUGAAGUUGACCGCCUGGGGGAGUACGGUCGCAAGAUUAAAACUCAAAUGAAUUGACGGGGUCAUAGCUG